rnacentral:rRNA from 1 species
GAAGCCCAGCUUGCUGGGUGGAUUAGUGGCGAACGGGUGAGUAACACGUGAGCAACCUGCCCCUGACUCUGGGAUAACAGCCGGAAACGGUUGCUAAUACCGGAUAUGCAUCAUGGCCGCAUGGUCUGUGGUGGGAAAGAUUUUUCGGUUGGGGAUGGGCUCGCGGCCUAUCAGCUUGUUGGUGAGGUAGUGGCUCACCAAGGCGUCGACGGGUAGCCGGCCUGAGAGGGUGACCGGCCACACUGGGACUGAGACACGGCCCAGACUCCUACGGGAGGCAGCAGUGGGGAAUAUUGCACAAUGGGCGGAAGCCUGAUGCAGCAACGCCGCGUGAGGGAUGACGGCCUUCGGGUUGUAAACCUCUUUUAGCAGGGAAGAAGCGGAAGUGACGGUACCUGCAGAAAAAGCGCCGGCUAACUACGUGCCAGCAGCCGCGGUAAUACGUAGGGCGCAAGCGUUAUCCGGAAUUAUUGGGCGUAAAGAGCUCGUAGGCGGUUUGUCGCGUCUGCUGUGAAAACCCGAGGCUCAACCUCGGGCCUGCAGUGGGUACGGGCAGACUAGAGUGCGGUAGGGGAGAUUGGAAUUCCUGGUGUAGCGGUGGAAUGCGCAGAUAUCAGGAGGAACACCGAUGGCGAAGGCAGAUCUCUGGGCCGUUACUGACGCUGAGGAGCGAAAGGGUGGGGAGCAAACAGGCUUAGAUACCCUGGUAGUC